UACGGAGGGAGCAAGCGUUGUUCGGAAUCACUGGGCGUAAAGCGUGUGUAGGCGGCCAUGCAAGUCAGAGGUGAAAGCCCGGGGCUCAACCCCGGAACUGCAUUUGAAACUGCAUGGCUGGAGUAUCGGAGAGGGUGGCGGAAUUCCUAGUGUAGGGGUGAAAUCCGUAGAGACUAGGAGGAACACCGGUGGCGAAGGCGGCCACCUGGACGAUUACUGACGCUGAGGCACGAAAGCGUGGGGAGCAAACAGG
rnacentral:rRNA from 1 species